ensembl:lncRNA
CGUCUAGAGGAAGUAUAUAUGUACAUCAGGCAGGCUGCUGCUGCUUCAGAGCUGUGUGUGCUCAGUCUCCUUUUUUGGAAAUGUAAAAUUAAAGAUCAUUUUUUGAGUUAGACCACUUUGAGCCAUGUUUUUCUUUGCCACCAAAAGAAUGCAAAGAACUGAAUUUAAUAAUUGGUGCAGUGACCCGGAUUCUUUUGCGGCUGAGAGGACUAAUUCGGAGCUUAAGGUACAAUCUGAUAUGAGGCGGACAACAGACCGGUCUAAAAAGAUUUAAAGGUAGGCACAAGCCUGUUCAAAGUAAAAGCAAAAUUGUGCAUAUUGGAUGAAAUCUAAAUUAUCUGUUCACCGAGUUGAUGAUCGUCACCGUCAAAUUGGCUCAGUAGUGGCGAAAUUAAAGUCAAUUAUAAAAUCUGUUAAGUAGAUUUCGGGUGACAUGUCCAUGGUAAUUUUGAGUGAAGUAAAGUAAAGUCUAGGAAUAUUUGAUAAAAGCUUAUUGUUGUUAAUGAUAAAGUAAAGUUUAAAGUUGAUGUGUUGAGUGUAAUCUUUUCAGCCAAGUGAAAAGAGAUUAGAGAGUAGGUAAUUGGACAUUGGUUUCAGGGUAGGAGUCCCUUUUGGUCAGAAGGCUGGGCCUGGACAUCAGUAAUGUUUUUAAAGUUAUUUAAAUUAAUCUAGGACGGCGGUGUGACCCCCAGGAGUGCACACAAGUUCAGAGGUGAGAACCUCCCCCUUCGCUCCGGUAUCUCAGUUGACCACACUGCCAAGACUUGGGACCUUGGUUAAUUGUCAGUGGUCAGGGACCACUUUAGUGCGCUGUUUGGUUGAAGAAGCGGGGCUUCAGGCGUGACCACUUCAACGUGGAUUGACCGGUAAAACUUUAAGUAAAGCUUCAGGCCGCAGUUAAAUACUGGACGCUAGUUAAGUGGAGUUAUUGGUCAAGCUGCGGGGAGCGCUUUUAAAUUAACAUAGGACUUAGAAAUCUGGCCCCUUUGUCCCGGACAGAGAAGGGUGUAUUGACCAGCAAGGUGGGCAAACCUGGGCUUAGAGGCUUUUAAAUUAAGUCAAAAUGGUAGGAUGACUAGUACUAAAGGAAGAUGAUGUGAAGUUGUGAUUUGGAAAGGAAAAUUAUUUAUCUUGGCAGUCGGUGUCUUUAUAAAUGUGUGAAUGUAUAAAUGAAGUGUAAAAUUGUUAUUUGGAUGAAUGAUUAAAGGUGCACAUUGUUUUGAGAGAAAAGGGUGUGGUAUGUGUGUGUGUGUGUGUGAGACGAUUAUCUUUUAAGGAAGCUCAGGGAAGUGUGCAAAAUGCUGAUGAAAGUAUUGUGUGAAUGAUGCUACAAAACUGAGCUGAAAGAAUGGUGAUAUGUGUGGAAAAACUGUUAAUUGUCCUCAGGAUUUGUGCCAAAAGAGCUCUGAUAAGCACAUUGAAGAUUUUGAUGUGAAUGCUUGCAAAUGCAAAGAGCUGAGUAUAUUUAAGUGUGUGCAUGUGUACACGGAAUCCAAAGUACCAUCAGGGUGUACACCCCACCCCUGGCGUCGUUGCCCACCUCUCAAUGUUAAAUACACGUAGACAUUGAGGGCCAGCAGGAGGGACCAUGCGCUUACCUGCUGCUCUCUGGCAGGUAGCUCCAUGCCCUCCUGGGUUUUAAAUGCACCUUAGAACACACAUGCAUCAACAUUACAAUGAGCGGGUGGAGGGAGGUUCGGAGUCUUCUCUCACCCCCAUUCUCUGCGACCUGCUGGAGCGGGGGGGCUAGGAGGAGGAGUUGGCCGUCCGACUGCGGUCUGGAGUGUGGGGCCUCCCUGCUGCUGCGGAGUCGGGGCGGUCUGCCUCCCCCCACCGCAGGGAAAAGGGUAACACCACCUGGGUCUGGGUGCAGUUCCCCCCCCUCCAGGGGCAAGGGUACCUAGACCCGGUUUGUAGAGUACGCUUGGGGAGUGUGAUCGUGUGUACAGCGUCUCUUUAUGUCUGUCUCCACGUUGGUUGAGUGUGGAGUAAGUGUAUAUGAGAGCAUGAGGGUGGGAAUGGAUGUUUGUAUAUGUGUGUGCCUGUAUGUCUGUGUCUAUAUGUCAGGUUGGGUGUCAGGCGCCACCUCUCUGGGGACAUCUUAGGCCCUCCAAGGUAUGGAGGCCUAUCUCCCCCUACCACCACUUCCCCUGCCAGUGGCGGACUCCCUCAGAUGUCGGUGCAUUGGUCGUUCUUUGUGUCCGGGGAUGGGCGUCCAGGUACACACCGGCUCACUCCUUGGCGGCCGCUUAUCGGGGCCUGGAGCCUGGGGCUCGCUCGGGCCACUUCGGAGGUGGGGCGCCCCCGGCCUCUCGGCCUGGGGCUCGGUCACUCAGGCGCGGCUGGCUGCCGGCGGAGCUCACGGGCGCGUCACUGCAACUCCCCCUGGCUUCUGCUCCGCGGCUGCUGAGUGAGCCCUCAUCUGGGACUCUCCUCAGCUCUUUCCGGGACAGUGGCGCAGCUGCCCCUCUGUUGGUCUUCCUUGGUCUCUUGUGUUCUGGGGGCCUCUGGAUGUCUGGAGUUUUGAUCUCCUCCAUACCUGCUUCAUGCCCUGGAGGACGGGGCUGUGGCCCCCCCACACCCUCUAGCAGAUCAUUACAUGAAGGAACCUUUUAAAAACAAGCGCGUCCAUGCUCACAGGUGUACACACGGGUGAUCACACCCACAAACUACACACUUUUUGGCUCCUACCUCAAAGCACACUGUGUUCUGUUGAUCUUAUGUGCUGCACAAUAAUGUUUAAUAUUUAGUAUUUACUGUCAUAUUCCCAUAUAUCAUUGUGAUGUUGUUUAUUCUAUUACUCUUGUUCUGUUCUGCUUGUUUUCUUUUUUCUUUCUCAGCAGGUGACCCAGGUGAUUGAUAUAUGCAUUUUUUUUCUGUUUUUCUUCUUUUUUUUCUUUUUCUGCUCAUUCUGUUGGUUUUUGGUUUUUGCCCUUCUCCCCCGUCCCUCUUCUCAGCUGUUUCUCUUUCCCUCUUUCUUUCUCCCCUUCUUUCCCCCAGUCAAGUCUGUCCCAUGUUCAGUAAGUGAAAAUAAAAUAAACAAUAAAAGGUGAAUCAAAUGGACCAUUAUGGCAAGGCUGGGAUGGUCAAUUUGGUAAAGUAAAUCCGUUGGGCAUCUUUCUUUGCCUUUAGACAACAAUUCUGAUGGCAAAAGAGCCAAACGGGACAGGCCAAAAAAAAAAAGAAAAAAAAAGUGUGUGCAUGUGUGUGUGUACUGAGGGUCCAUUCUUUUUAUAUUAACACGUAGCAGAGUUACAUAGGGUCUAUAGACUGUAAAUAUAAAAUAAGAGUUCGGUUAGGUUGUAGAUGAAAAUUUACUGAAGAGAAGAGUGUGUGUGUGUGUGUGUGUGUGUGUGUGUGUGUGUGUGUGUGUGUGUGUGUGUGUGUGUGUGUGUGUGUGUCUGGCAGGAAGUGAACAAGCUUGCAUGCCCAUAAAAGGAAACUGGCUGAUAUGUGGAGUGUGCAAUCAGAGAGAGAGAGACGUGUUAAAAAUCUAGGUAGUGUUAAGAAAUGGUAAUGAAAAUGAUAUUAAAUAAAUGUUUUAGUGUGUCAAUACAGGUGGACUCUUCUCAACUUGAAAACGUGAGUACAGCGGCAAAAUGAUAGAUUAACAGAAUUGGGACGAAAACAGGCCAGGCUUUGGCUUAAAGAUUUGACAGCUUCACCUCUCAUUCUGUCCUCAUCCUGAGAAGAAGCUUAAAGGACAGUCAGUCUCCUGAUGAAGACAGAAGACAGACAGAACACCGUGUACUCGAAGAAUUAACAGCAGGCAAAAAGACAGUGCAACUGACCUAUAACACUGAAGACUCCAGCAGCAGCAUGUAAGGAAACACUUGAUGGAACAUGCACUCUGAAUUACAAGCUGGGAAGUUGAACAGUGGGAUGACUGUGCAAAAGCACUGGACAGUACUGGAUACUGAGUUUCAUAUUUGCCAUGCUGGGAGAUAUCCUCCAAGAAAAGACUGAAAAGAUCAAGAGAGAAGGAAUGGAGAGAGGAAACAGCUGAUUUGGGCCUGUGUUGAUCUGCGAGGCCACACAGAAAACUGUGAGAACAGGGACGAGGAUCAGUGAGAGGUGAACCGAGACAUGAUGCAGUGAAAGCAUGUGGGAAAUUGGAUUGAAGAUUGAGACUGAACUCAUGGAGGUUUAGAAAUGUCCAGAACAUCACAACAGAGAGGUAAAAAAUAAAAAAAUUAAAAAAAAGAGAGAGAGAGAGAGAGAUAAAGAAAUAAAUAAACUAACAAUUAUUGAAUUGAACAAUUGAAUAGAAAAGACACAUAUACAAAUUGUUACAUGUGAAAUUAUUUUUGGAGAGAAUCAGAAGUGAGACAGUUUGAAUCCACAGCUCAGUGCAAAGAUGCAUGAAUUAAACCUGAUUAUAAAAACACAUCAAGGCAAUGAAGACCAGCUUACACUCAAUAUUAAUCUGAAUACAAAUACAUACACGCAAUGAAGACAUGCUUACAUUCAUGAAUGCGAAUACAUGACAUAAAUGCUAAAUGGUAGAGAUUUAACACACUUAAGUUUGAAGUUGAGGAAUAACUCAGGGAAUUCCAUGAAAAUAGAGGGAUUUUUGUGAAAAGGAAAAAGGAUAAACCAGUGAUUGGAAGUGUAAAGUAGUUUUAGAAUAGUGAAUUAGAAGUGCUUUUGUGCCAAUUGAGCAAAACAAGUUAUUACUCUAGAAAGAAAAUAAAAUAAUAAUUUAAUUAUGUGGUAAUGUUUUAAAUAUGCAUUUCUCUUGUCAAGGCAACUUCUUAUGAGAGGAGAGAGUAUGAAAAUUAGCUGAAUGUGUGGCGACAAAAAAAAAAAAGAACUGAAGCUUCCUUUCUGGCUGUGAAAGAAACAUGUGUCAUGACCCUGUGCCUUCUCGGCUGACUCUGUAUGGCUACAAGUGUUUUUGUUGUGCUGCAUCUCUCUCUCUCCCCUCCCGCGCACUGCGCUCUACCGGGGCGGAGUCGUGACGGCUCCAGCCCCUGGCUUGGACACCUGCAAGCAAUCAUCUCACCCACUUCUUAAGGCGGCUGCUGAGAGUGCUUCCUCGCUGGAUUAUUGUGUAACACUCAAUUCUCGCCAGCCUGAGGACCGCCGUUGGUGAGCUAAAGCCGGAGUCCGAGCUACCUGAGCUUCAGUGGAUUUUGUACCUAGCCCUCGUCUUCCCGUGCCUGUGUUCCCCGGAGACCCUCUUCCUGUGCCCCCUCACCCGUAUAUAUUUGCACCUGGUGUCUGUGUGUGUAAAUAAAUCACGAACUUAAGUGACGGUCUGCCUCCGAGUCCCUCCUGAGCCUGACAACAUGUCUGUGAAUGAGAAGAAUUGCUUGCAGGUGAAAUUAUGUCAGUUGACCUCAGAGUGUCAGGAUGCUGAAGAACCUGAGGCCAACAUUUUGUUAGAUUAGCCUGCAAGAUUGAAUUAACAGCGCUGUAAAAGUUUUGGGAGAACAAAUUUAAGAUGACCUUUUCCAGAUUACAACUGGCUGAGGAGAAGGCCAUCUGUGUGGAUCUGAUCAGGUUGUAAGAUAAUAAAGAACUCUUUUCCAAAAACAAAAAACAAAACAAAAUAAAACAAAUGAAUGAGCUCAUGUUGCUGAGGGUGGAGAAUUUGAUUAUUAGUCUCCACUGUCAGCAAAUAUCUUGAGUGAAUGACUGAAUGUGUGACUGAAAUGUGACCUGACACUGAGACAAAGACGGGACCAAGGUUAGGAUGCGAAGGGGGAAUGCUUUGCUUUGUUUUGCUUUGCCAUGAGCAGGAGGAGAAGAGAGAACGGAGGGGAGACUGAAAGGUUCACAUGAGAGUUUGGAGCUGCAGACUUUUUUGGGUCGCUGAUGUCUGCUUUAAGAAAAUUCUGUUUUAUUGACUGGGUUUAGAUUAUGGUAGUACAUUAU